GUUUAGUAAGUUGUGGGCCCUAAUUCCUUACAGAUGAGAGAUCAAAGAGGUCCUUUUAGAUAUCUGUUGGGAAAGAUUUUUCAUUUUUCUUCUUGACUUUGCAAAGCAUUGCAAGGUGAGGAAAGAGGAUAGGAAAGAGAGAAGAAUAUUAAUGAAGGAUAGGAAGGUAAAAGAAUUGGGGGAUUGACUGCCCUGCUGUUCAAUAUCUAGAAUAGCAAUCUUGAUGAUGACUCCACCAAUAUAUGUGGUGACUACUUAGGAUGUUCCUAUGUUCCUGUCUCUUGUUUUCCAUUAUAUUAUUGCUUGCUUUUUUUUUUCUUCAGAGCUUGUUCUUAGUUUUGCAAUAUGUACUUCACAAGCUAUUUUACCCUUGUAUGUAUAGAAGAAGAAUAGUAAUGAAAGAUAGGAAGGUAAAAGAAUUGGGGGAUUGACUGCCCUGCUGUUCAAUAUCUAGAAUAGCAAUCUUGAUGAUGACUCCACCAAUAUAUGUGGGGACUGCUUAG
rnacentral:lncRNA from 1 species